rnacentral:rRNA from 1 species
UUACAGGCUUAACACAUGCAAGUCGAGGGGCAGCAUGGUCUUAUCUUGCUAAGGCCGAUGGCGACCGGCGCACGGGUGAGUAACACGUAUCCAACCUGCCGUCUACUCUUGGACAGCCUUCUGAAAGGAAGAUUAAUACAAGAUGGCAUCAUGAGUCCGCAUGUUCACAUGAUUAAAGGUAUUCCGGUAGACGAUGGGGAUGCGUUCCAUUAGAUAGUAGGCGGGGUAACGGCCCACCUAGUCUUCGAUGGAUAGGGGUUCUGAGAGGAAGGUCCCCCACAUUGGAACUGAGACACGGUCCAAACUCCUACGGGAGGCAGCAGUGAGGAAUAUUGGUCAAUGGGCGAGAGCCUGAACCAGCCAAGUAGCGUGAAGGAUGACUGCCCUAUGGGUUGUAAACUUCUUUUAUAAAGGAAUAAAGUCGGGUAUGGAUACCCGUUUGCAUGUACUUUAUGAAUAAGGAUCGGCUAACUCCGUGCCAGCAGCCGCGGUAAUACGGAGGAUCCGAGCGUUAUCCGGAUUUAUUGGGUUUAAAGGGAGCGUAGAUGGAUGUUUAAGUCAGUUGUGAAAGUUUGCGGCUCAACCGUAAAAUUGCAGUUGAUACUGGAUAUCUUGAGUGCAGUUGAGGCAGGCGGAAUUCGUGGUGUAGCGGUGAAAUGCUUAGAUAUCACGAAGAACUCCGAUUGCGAAGGCAGCCUGCUAAGCUGCAACUGACAUUGAGGCUCGAAAGUGUGGGUAUCAAACAGGAUUAGAUACCCUGGUAGUCCACACGGUAAACGAUGAAUACUCGCUGUUUGCGAUAUACUGCAAGCGGCCAAGCGAAAGCGUUAAGUAUUCCACCUGGGGAGUACGCCGGCAACGGUGAAACUCAAAGGAAUUGACGGGGGCCCGCACAAGCGGAGGAACAUGUGGUUUAAUUCGAUGAUACGCGAGGAAUCUUACCCGGGCUUAAAUUGCAGAUGAAUUACGGUGAAAGCCGUAAGCCGCAAGGCAUCUGUGAAGGUGCUGCAUGGUUGUCGUCAGCUCGUGCCGUGAGGUGUCGGCUUAAGUGCCAUAACGAGCGCAACCCUUGUUGUCAGUUACUAACAGGUUCCGCUGAGGACUCUGACAAGACUGCCAUCGUAAGAUGUGAGGAAGGUGGGGAUGACGUCAAAUCAGCACGGCCCUUACGUCCGGGGCUACACACGUGUUACAAUGGGGGGUACAGAGGGCCGCUACCACGCGAGUGGAUGCCAAUCCCCAAAACCUCUCUCAGUUCGGACUGGAGUCUGCAACCCGACUCCACGAAGCUGGAUUCGCUAGUAAUCGCGCAUCAGCCACGGCGCGGUGAAUACGUUCCCGGGCCUUGUACACACCGCCCGUCAAGCCAUGGGAGCCGGGGGUACCUGAAGUGCGUAACCGCGAGGAGCGCCCUAGGGUAAAACUGGUGACUGGGGC